UGAGCAACCUGCCCUUAGCUCUGGGAUAACCCCGGGAAACCGGGGCUAAUACCGGAUACGAGUCCGAGCGGCAUCACAUGGACUGGAAAGUUUUUCGGCUAAGGAUGGGCUCGCGGCCUAUCAGCUUGUUGGUGGGGUAACGGCCUACCAAGGCGACGACGGGUAGCUGGUCUGAGAGGACGGCCAGCCACACUGGGACUGAGACACGGCCCAGACUCCUACGGGAGGCAGCA
rnacentral:rRNA from 1 species